CCUACGGGAGGCAGCAGUGAGGAAUAUUGGUCAAUGGACGAGAGUCUGAACCAGCCAAGUAGCGUGAAGGAUGACUGCCCUAUGGGUUGUAAACUUCUUUUAUAAAGGAAUAAAACGAGGCACGUGUGCCUUUUUGCAUGUACUUUAUGAAUAAGGAUCGGCUAACUCCGUGCCAGCAGCCGCGGUAAUACGGAGGAGCCGAGCGUUAUCCGGAUUUAUUGGGUUUAAAGGGAGCGUAGAUGGGUUGUUAAGUCAGUUGUGAAAGGUUGCGGCUCAACCGUAAAAUUGCAAUUGAUACUGGCAGUCUUGAGUACAGUUGAGGUAGGCGGAAUUCGUGGUGUAGCGGUGAAAUGCUUAGAUAUCACGAAGAACCCCGAUGGCGAAGGCAGCUUACUAAACUGUGACUGACAUUGAGGCUCGAAAGUGAGGGUAUCAAACAGGAUUAGAUACCCUUGUAGUC
rnacentral:rRNA from 1 species